CGAACGCUGGCGGCGUGCUUAACACAUGCAAGUCGAACGGAAAGGCCCUGCUUUUGUGGGGUGCUCGAGUGGCGAACGGGUGAGUAACACGUGAGUAACCUGCCCUUGACUUUGGGAUAACUUCAGGAAACUGGGGCUAAUACCGGAUAGGAGCUCCUGCUGCAUGGUGGGGGUUGGAAAGUUUCGGCGGUUGGGGAUGGACUCGCGGCUUAUCAGCUUGUUGGUGGGGUAGUGGCUUACCAAGGCUUUGACGGGUAGCCGGCCUGAGAGGGUGACCGGCCACAUUGGGACUGAGAUACGGCCCAGACUCCUACGGGAGGCAGCAGUGGGGAAUAUUGCACAAUGGGCGGAAGCCUGAUGCAGCAACGCCGCGUGCGGGAUCACGGCCUUCGGGUUGUAAACCGCUUUCGCCUGUGACGAAGCGUGAGUGACGGUAAUGGGUAAAGAAGCACCGGCUAACUACGUG
rnacentral:rRNA from 1 species